UUCCAGCCAAUCAGCAGCAGAUCCUCUCUCCCAGACCCUCCCACCUCCUGGACAGCAUCCAUUGUGAAGCUGCAUUCUUAGUGAGCUGUCCAGGAGGUGGGAGGGUCUGGGAGGGAGGGUCUGCUGCUGAUUAGCUGG